GAUGAACGCUGGCGGCGUGCCUAAUACAUGCAAGUCGAGCGAACGGACGAGAAGCUUGCUUCUCUGAUGUUAGCGGCGGACGGGUGAGUAACACGUGGAUAACCUACCUAUAAGACUGGGAUAACUUCGGGAAACCGGAGCUAAUACCGGAUAAUAUUUUGAACCGCAUGGUUCAAAAGUGAAAGACGGUCUUGCUGUCACUUAUAGGUGGAUCCGCGCUGCAUUAGCUAGUUGGUAAGGUAACGGCUUACCAAGGCAACGAUGCAUAGCCGACCUGAGAGGGUGAUCGGCCACACUGGAACUGAGACACGGUCCAGACUCCUACGGGAGGCAGCAGUAGGGAAUCUUCCGCAAUGGGCGAAAGCCUGACGGAGCAACGCCGCGUGAGUGAUGAAGGUCUUCGGAUCGUAAAACUCUGUUAUUAGGGAAGAACAUAUGUGUAAGUAACUGUGCACAUCUUGACGGUACCUAAUCAGAAAGCCACGGCUAACUACGUGCCAGCAGCCGCGGUAAUACGUGGGUGGCAAGCGUUAUCCGGAAUUAUUGGGCGUAAAGCGCGCGUAGGCGGUUUUUUAAGUCUGAUGUGAAAGCCCACGGCUCAACCGUGGAGGGUCAUUGGAAACUGGAAAACUUGAGUGCAGAAGAGGAAAGUGGAAUUCCAUGUGUAGCGGUGAAAUGCGCAGAGAUAUGGAGGAACACCAGUGGCGAAGGCGACUUUCUGGUCUGUAACUGACGCUGAUGUGCGAAAGCGUGGGGAUCAAACAGGAUUAGAUACCCUGGUAGUCCACGCCGUAAACGAUGAGUGCUAAGUGUUAGGGGGUUUCCGCCCCUUAGUGCUGCAGCUAACGCAUUAAGCACUCCGCCUGGGGAGUACGACCGCAAGGUUGAAACUCAAAGGAAUUGACGGGGACCCGCACAAGCGGUGGAGCAUGUGGUUUAAUUCGAAGCAACGCGAAGAACCUUACCAAAUCUUGACAUCCUUUGACAACUCUAGAGAUAGAGCCUUCCCCUUCGGGGGGGCAAAGUGACAGGUGGUGCAUGGUUGUCGUCAGCUCGUGUCGUGAGAUGUUGGGUUAAGUCCCGCAACGAGCGCAACCCUUAAGCUUAGUUGCCAUCAUUAAGUUGGGCACUCUAAGUUGACUGCCGGUGACAAACCGGAGGAAGGUGGGGAUGACGUCAAAUCAUCAUGCCCCUUAUGAUUUGGGCUACACACGUGCUACAAUGGACAAUACAAAGGGCAGCGAAACCGCGAGGUCAAGCAAAUCCCAUAAAGUUGUUCUCAGUUCGGAUUGUAGUCUGCAACUCGACUACAUGAAGCUGGAAUCGCUAGUAAUCGUAGAUCAGCAUGCUACGGUGAAUACGUUCCCGGGUCU
rnacentral:rRNA from 1 species